rnacentral:sRNA from 1 species
GACAACACAGCAGCUUAUAACAUAAGAUAAGCACAGUAUAUACAAUGUCUCCAGAGGAGGAAAGGAUUAAUAUUCUCAAAGAACUUACCCACUUGCAUGUCAAGAACAGUGAUUAUCUGGCAUAUAUGUAUUGAUAUCACUAUCUGUCUGCUUGCAUGCAACAACUAACAGAGAAUCACAGUGAGAACUACCUCCAUAAUUUCUUUAUUAUCAGCCUCCAAGAUUAUCAGAGAAUCUACAUCAAAUCACAUCUUGAUACAUUCUACAGAACAGAUCAGAGCCUGAUUGUCAAUCUAGAUAUCAAUGAUCUCACAAAACAAAUUGCUCACUGAAUGAGUAAGUCAGAGGGUUCUGAACACCUCAAAGCUCCAAAGAUCAACACAGCCAUCAAUGAUAAUGAUGAUAACACCACAAUCACCACCACAAUCUCACAGUGCAGACAGAUACUGCAAGGUCUCAGAGUAUAUAAAGGCUAAUUGCUAUCAUCUGAACCCUGACAAAGCACCUGAGUGGUGGAGAAAGGAGAAUAAGGAUAAUAAGAGCACUGACAACACUGAGGGUGUCAAAAAGAAGGGAA